GUGGGGAAUUUUGGACAAUGGGCGCAAGCCUGAUCCAGCCAUGCCGCGUGCAGGAUGAAGGCCUUCGGGUUGUAAACUGCUUUUGUACGGAACGAAACGGCUCUUUCUAAUAAAGAGGGCUAAUGACGGUACCGUAAGAAUAAGCACCGGCUAACUACGUGCCAGCAGCCGCGGUAAUACGUAGGGUGCAAGCGUUAAUCGGAAUUACUGGGCGUAAAGCGUGCGCAGGCGGUUAUAUAAGACAGAUGUGAAAUCCCCGGGCUCAACCUGGGAACUGCAUUUGUGACUGUAUAGCUAGAGUACGGCAGAGGGGGAUGGAAUUCCGCGUGUAGCAGUGAAAUGCGUAGAUAUGCGGAGGAACACCGAUGGCGAAGGCAAUCCCCUGGGCCUGUACUGACGCUCAUGCACGAAAGCGUGGGGAGCAAACAGGAUUAGAUACCCUAGUAGUCC
rnacentral:rRNA from 1 species